rnacentral:rRNA from 1 species
UACGUAGGUGGCAAGCGUUGUUCGGAAUUAUUGGGCGUAAAGGGCGCGUAGGCGGUUUGCUAAGUCAGUUGUGAAAGCCCGGGGCUCAACCCCGGAGGGUCGGCUGAUACUGGUGGACUAGAGUGCGGUAGGGGAGACUGGAAUUCCUGGUGUAGCGGUGAAAUGCGCAGAUAUCAGGAGGAACACCGGUGGCGAAGGCGGGUCUCUGGGCCGUAACUGACGCUGAGGAGCGAAAGCAUGGGGAGCGAACAGG